rnacentral:rRNA from 1 species
GAUUGAACGCUGGCGGCAGGCCUAACACAUGCAAGUCGAACGGCAGCACAGAAGAGCUUGCUCUUUGGGUGGCGAGUGGCGGACGGGUGAGUAAUGUCUGGGAAACUGCCCGAUGGAGGGGGAUAACUACUGGAAACGGUAGCUAAUACCGCAUAACGUCGCAAGACCAAAGUGGGGGACCUUCGGGCCUCACACCAUCGGAUGUGCCCAGAUGGGAUUAGCUAGUAGGUGGGGUAACGGCUCACCUAGGCGACGAUCCCUAGCUGGUCUGAGAGGAUGACCAGCCACACUGGAACUGAGACACGGUCCAGACUCCUACGGGAGGCAGCAGUGGGGAAUAUUGCACAAUGGGCGCAAGCCUGAUGCAGCCAUGCCGCGUGUAUGAAGAAGGCCUUCGGGUUGUAAAGUACUUUCAGCGGGGAGGAAGGCGACUGUGGUUAAUAACCGSGUCGAUUGACGUUACCCGCAGAAGAAGCACCGGCUAACUCC